rnacentral:rRNA from 1 species
CGGACGGGUGAGUAACGCGUGAGUAACCUGCCUUUCAGAGGGGGAUAACGUUCUGAAAAGAACGCUAAUACCGCAUAACAUCAAUUUAUCGCAUGAUAGGUUGAUCAAAGGAGCAAUCCGCUGGAAGAUGGACUCGCGUCCGAUUAGCCAGUUGGCGGGGUAACGGCCCACCAAGGCGACGAUCGGUAGCCGGACUGAGAGGUUGAACGGCCACAUUGGGACUGAGACACGGCCCAGACUCCUACGGGAGGCAGCAUG